CUGUUUAAAAGAUGGGUUCUGCUAUCACUCUUGGGAUGGGACCCUGCGGUGCAUUAGCUAGUUGGUAGGGUAACGGGCCUACCAAGGCGAUGAUGCAUAGCCCCGAGUUGAGAGACUGAUCGGGCCACAUUGGGGACUGAGACACGGGCCCAAAACUCCUACGGGGAGGCAGCAGUAGGGAAUCUUCCACAAUGGACGCAAGUCUGAUGGAGCAACGCCGCGUGAGUGAAGAAGGGUUUCGGCUCGUAAAGCUCUGUUGUUGGUGAAGAAGGACAGGGUAGUAACUGACCUUUGUUUGACGGUAAUCAAUUAGAAAGUCACGGCUAACUACGUGCCAGCAGCCGCGGUAAU
rnacentral:rRNA from 1 species